UUUUUUUUUUUUUUUUGGUCUUUUUGUCUUUUUCUAGGGCUGCACCCGAGGCAUAUGAAGGUUCCCAGGUUAGAACCUAAUCAGAGCUGUAGCCACCGGCCUAUGCCAGAUCCAAGCUGCGUCUGUGACCUACACCACAGCUCAUGGCAAUGCCAGAUCCUUAACCCACUGAGCAAGGCCAGGGAUAUAACCAGCAACCUCGUGGUUCCUAGUUGGAUUCAUUAACGACGGGUACUCCAGUACUGGUAGACUUUUUAAGGGUCCAAACAUUCCAUAAUAUUUUCAUACCAAAAUUCUGUGAAAACGCAUUUUUCUCCUACUUUUCUUACAACGAAUUAAUUUCUGAUAGAUCUAAAAGAUCUUUUUAACAAGUACACUGGAUCAUGUCAGUCCCUGCUUUAAAACCUAAUAACUUCCAACUACCAUGGCCUACACACAAGACUCCAUACUCCCAAUUCUCUACUCCAUCACCUAGCUUCCUAUACGUAACUUUAGUGGAUUCAAACAAUACUAAUCUCCUUCUACAGAUUAGGUACUAUAUAUUCAAUUUCCAUCAGAAACACAUGGGCAUAAAUUUAAACUCUGAAUACUGGUAAGAAUACAGAUAAAUUAUUUUAAAAAGGGCACUCCUUUCUGCCUAGUAUAAUCAAAAUAUUACUUAAAACAAAUAAACUAAGAAAACUCAACUUUUUUUCCCAUCCAGGAUUUAAAUAAAUUUCAUCUCUUCAUAAUGAGUGACUGCCCAGCAGAGUCAUUUCCAUGACUCGUGAUUCUGCCAAGUGAAUUCAACCAAUAUUAGAGCCCAAUCUUAGAGGGAAUCCUGACGUUAAUGCACAAAGCAAAAAUCAACUGUCAAAAUUACUUCUGAAAAUUCUUUAGAAGAAUAACAUACUGGAGAUGCAAGGUAUUAUUUCCAUUUUACACAUGAAGCAACUGAAGCCCAGAGAGAGACAGAGAGAGAGAGACCGAGAAACUUGACCAAGGCAAGAUUCAAAAAAGCAAUUUGGGAGUUCCCGUCGUGGCGCAGUGGUUAACGAAUCCGACUAGGAACCAUGAGGUUGGGGGUUCGAUCCCUGGCCUUGCUCAGUGGGUUAAGGAUCCAGCAUUGCUGUGGCUGUGGUGUAGGCCGGCAGCAACAGCUCAGGAUUAGAUCCGAGCCUGGGAACCUCCAUGUGUCUCGGGUACCACCCUAAAAGUUAGACAAAGGGGGGGGGGGGGCAGGCAGAGAAAUGAGCCUGGAAAGAAGACCAAAAAUAAUCAGCAAGGGAGGUAUCAAGAAGUUUAAAAAAGCAAGGAAAAUCAGGAAAAUGUAGUGUCUCAGAAGCCAAAGGAAAAAUUACAAAAUUAACAGAAGAUGAUGUCAAAUAUUGCAAAGAAUCAAGUAAGAUAAAGACUGAAAGGUGUUCACUGGACUUAAUUAUGUAAGAAUAUCACUGGUGAUCCUGGAGUUCCCACUGUGGCUCAGUGGGUUAAGAAUCAGACUAGUACCCAUGAGGAUGUGGGUUCGACUCUGGCCCCUGCUCAGUGGGUUAAGGAUUCAGUGUUACCUCAACCUAGAGCAUAGGUCACAGAUGAGGCCUGUAGCUCCAAUUCAACCCCUAGCCCAGGAACUUCCAUAUGCCAUAAGUGUUGCAACCCCCGCCCCCCCAAAAAACAAUGUCACUGAUGAUCCUGACUUUUUUUUAAUGAUUAGAAGCACUCCAUGGGGAGGGGGGAGAAUUAUUUCAUUUCAAACAUGACUGAUAAUGUCAGCUUACUUAGUUUUUUAUCCCCUUAAUAAACUGUUUAGGUACAUUUCUCCUUAAUUGAGAGGGCUGACUUAGACGAGUGGUUCCUAAACAUUUCAUGUGGGAUCAUGCCUGUGUAACACAAGAAAAAAAAAAAAACAAAACUUGAACACUAUAAUAACUUCUUUUUAAAAAAUCAUCAGAUUAAAAACAAAUGGAUAAAAACGUUAGUAUAAAGUCAAUAAUAAGUAAAUGUACAUUUAAAAAAACCACAGGUUAUUUGAAAAAAGAAAUACCUAAAACAUUUGUGCAGCCAGAUAUCAUGUUUGGUAAAUAUGUGGGUAUGGUUCUCCCCUGUGUUAACUCUGGCCCAGAGACUGAGAAUCCCUGUGGACUAACAAAGAACUUUACCAAAUUAAAAAAAUCUGUAACUCUUCAAGUUUUCAACAUAAAUCACCAAAGCAAAAUGGCACAUCAUGAUAGAUUUUCUAACAGCCCAAAAUAGAAAAUGAUUUAACACUUUUAGUACCUUAAUCUCAGAUGUUAUCAGCUGUGACUAGAUGCCUUUGAUGAAAGCCUAAAAUUCUAAUUAAACAAAAUAUGAAAUUUUGCUUUUGAAGUGUUUGUUAUCAUAGAAAAAAGAUAACUGGAUAUAGUCUGCCUGCACAUGAAAAUCUCAAACCCAGUAGAAAGAAGCCCAUUAAUUUUACAUUAAAGCAAAUGUAAGCCAAGAGACAACCACCACUAAUUUUCCAUUUUAUUCACUAAUAUUGAACCCUGAACUGACAACAUUUGUUCAUUUCUUCAUCCUCUGAAAAAUUAUAGCUAUUGCUCAGGUGUAGAAAGAAAAGGUAGAGCAUCAGGACUCUGUUUUCCUUUUUAGGGCUGCACCUGCAGCACAUGGAAAUUCUCAGGCUAGGGGGUGAAUUGGAGCUGCAGCUGCUGGCCUAGCUACAGCCCCAGCAACACCAGAUCCGAGCCUCAAGCCUCGUCUGGUACCUACACCACAUCUCACAACCACAUCUCACAACAAGGCCCAAUCCAUAACCCAUUGAUCAAGGCCAGGGAUCAAACCCACAUCCUCAUGGAUACUAGUUGGGUGUGUUAACACUGAGCCACAAGAGGAACUCCAACAUUCUACCAGUUUUUCUAUCAUUUCAAAGAAAUGUUUCCUUAUUUACAAAACCCACUGAGGCUGACAAUUUAAAGGUGCUAUUCAAAUAUAAAACAAUUUAUCCAACCACAGAUAAUAAAAAUUAUAAUUUGUGGUUAGUUGUAUUUAGAUAGUCUAAUAAUAACUCUAAGGACUAGACUAUAAAAAAGAUUCUGGAGUUCCCGUCGUGGCGCAGUGGUUAACGAACCCGACUAGGAACCAUGAGGUUGCGGGUUCGAUCCUUGCCCUUGCUCAGUGGGUUAACGAUCCGGCGUUGCUGUGAGCUGUGGUGUAGGUUGCAGACGCGGCUCGGAUCCAGCGUUGCUGUGGCUCUGGCGUAGGCCAGUGGCUACAGCUCCGAUUCGACCCCUAGCC
rnacentral:lncRNA from 1 species